rnacentral:rRNA from 1 species
GACGAACGCUGGCGGCGUGCUUAACACAUGCAAGUCGAACGGAAAGGCCCUGCUUGUGUGGGGUGCUCGAGUGGCGAACGGGUGAGUAACACGUGAGUAACCUGCCCUUGACUUUGGGAUAACUUCAGGAAACUGGGGCUACUACCGGAUAGGAGCUCCUGCUGCAUGGUGGGGGUUGGAAAGUUUCGGCGGUUGGGGAUGGACUCGCGGCUUAUCAGCUUGUUGGUGGGGUAGUGGCUUACCAAGGCUUUGACGGGUAGCCGGCCUGAGAGGGUGACCGGCCCCAAUGGGACUGAGAUACGGCCCAGAGGCCUACGGGAGACAGCAGUGGGGAAUAUUGCACAGUGGGAGGAAGCCUGAGGAAGCAACGCCGCGUGCGGGAUGACGGCCUUCGGGGUGUAAACCGCAUCCGCCUGUGACGAAGCGGGAGUGACGGUAAUGGGUAAAGAAGCACCGGCUAACUACGUG